UGCGUCAGAGCUCAGGGAGAAAGGAUGGCUGACCACCAGAGAGAGACCAGCUGGACAAUUCUGUCCGUGGGAGGAAAGCAAGGAGGGAUGCAAACCCGUCCUGACUGCCACCGGUGCCUGGCGUACACUGUUAGCAUUGUCUGGGGGGCUGCUCCUUGCCAGCCCUGCUCCGAUACCUGUCAGGUUCCUUGGCAGGCCUUUUCACUCCGUUCCUAUAACCCCGAUCUCGUAAGCUAACUGAAAACACACCCUUCCUAUUCUCCCUUUUAUUUUGGCUGCGUAUGGAAUUUGAAUUCACCAUUUUGUAAAGGGCCAAGGUGAAGUUCCUGAACUUAUACAACUCCUAGAGAACUUUAAAUAGUGCAUUGUCUAGCUGUGAACCGUUUACCUUGAAGAAGUCUCGCUGAACUAGCAGCACUGCGUUAUCCGACUGUUGUGCCGUUUUACCCUUAAACAGACUUCCAAUAAGCCGACCGAAGUCAACCUUGCGAGGUUUAAUGGCUGGUAUUUGGGGACUAUGCAGGGAGAUUGUAAAGACCAGCACCACUUUGCUGACUUUAUAGCCUCCAGCAGCAGUUACUGUGAAGCGGUGUCGCUAGUCCAUCACCGGAGGCUUUAUUCCCUUCUGAGCUUGCAGCUGAAUACCAUCUGGCCCCGGUGAUUUAGUGCCCGUGAGUUCCCCCGCUCGGUCAUAACUUCCUCCUCGGAGAUUUUGGUGUCUGCUAAGGCCACGUCCUGAUUUCCUGUGAGAAGGGCUCUCGGAAUAGGAAUCUCUCCAUUGUCCUCUAUGGGGAAGGAAAAGACAAGGCGUACAAUUAACUUUCCUACUACUUUCUUUUAAG
rnacentral:lncRNA from 1 species